rnacentral:rRNA from 1 species
UACGGAGGGUGCGAGCGUUGUUCGGAAUCACUGGGCGUAAAGGGCGUGUAGGCGGUCCGCUAAGUCUGAUGUGAAAGCCCGGGGCUCACCCCCGGAAGUGCAUUGGAAACUGGCGGACUCGUAGUACCGGCGAGAGGAGAGUGGAAUUCCGUGGUGUAGCGGUGAAAUGCGUAGAUAUCAGGAGGAACACCGGUGGCGAAGGCGGCUCUCUGGACGGUGACUGACGCUGAGAAGCGAAAGCAUGGGGAGCGAACAGG